AGCAGCCGCGGUAAUUCCAGCUCCAAUAGCGUAUAUUAAAGUUGUUGCAGUUAAAAAGCUCGUAGUUGAAUUUCGGGGUUCUACCGUUGGUCGGGCUUUGUCUGUACUGGCGUGUAGAAUUUCUACCUUCUGGGGAACCAUCAUGUUAUUAAUUUAACGUGGUGGGAAACCAGGACCUUUGCCUUGAAAAAAUUAGAGCGUUCAAAGCAGGCUUAUGUCUGAAUACAUUAGCAUGGAAUAAUAGAAUAGGACGGUGGUCCUGUUUUGUUGGUUUCUGAAUCACCGUAAUGAUUAAUAGGGAUAGUUGGGGCAUUAGUAUUCAAUUGUCAGAGGUGAAAUUCUUGGAUUUAUUGAAGACUAACUUCUGCGAAAGCAUUUGCCAAGGAUGUUUUCAUUAAUCAAGAACGAAAGUUAGGGGAUCGAAGACGAUCAGAUACCGUCGUAGUCUUAACCGUAACUAUGCCGACUAGGGAUCGGACGAUGUUAACUUUCUUGACUCGUUCGGCGCCUUACGGGAAAC
rnacentral:rRNA from 1 species